rnacentral:misc_RNA from 1 species
GUAUUUGAUUUAAAAUCAAUAAUUCAGGCAAAAUUAAAGCGAGUUUGAAAAAAAAAACCGUCGGCUCGUCCUCCGCGAGGAAAGAGCGCACCGAGGGCCUUUGUUCGAUGAGUGCACAUAAGGAUGAAUCGUGGUCUGCCGACGCCCAAGGGCGAACGACAGUAAACCUUGUAAUGAUCCUUCCGCAGGUUCACCUACGGAAA